rnacentral:rRNA from 1 species
AUGGACGUUAAGACGACUUUCCUUAACGGAGAGCUAGACGAGGAAAUUUACAUGCAACGGCCGGAUGGCUUUGUAGUAAAUGGUCAGGAAAGAAAGGUGUGUAAGCUAGUGAAAUCUUUGUAUGGCCUGAAACAAGCGCCUAAGCAAUGGCAUGAGAGGUUUAAUACAACUUUGACAUCUGCUGGAUUUUCUGUUAACGAAGCUGACAAAUGUGUAUACUAUAGCUAUGGUGGGGGCGAAGGAGUUAUACUGUGUCUGUAUGUCGAUGACAUACUGAUAUUUGGGACCCACCUCAAGGUCAUUGAGGAGGUCAAGGAUUUUCUAUCUCAUAACUUUGAGAUGAAAGACCUCGGCGUGGCUAAUGUUAUCUUGAACAUCAAGCUACUAAGAAGUACUGAGGGUGGAAUUACACUUUUGCAAUCCCACUAUGUUGAGAAGAUGAAAGCCACAAGUGGAUAUGUCUUCACACUUGGUGGUGGUGCUGUUUCCUGGAAGUCUUGCAAGCAGACGAUCUUAACCAGAUCGACGAUGGAAGCAGAACUCACAUCAUUAGACACAUCAUGCGUCGAAGCAGAAUGGCUUCCAGAGCUUUUGAUGGAUUUGCCGGUGGUUGAUAAACCAGUCCCGACUGUCCUUAUGAACUGUGACAAUCAAACAGUGAUUGCCAAGGCUAAGAGUUCAAAGGACAACUUGAAAUCCACAAAGCACAUAAGAAGAAGAUUAAAAUCUGUCAGAAAAUCAAGAAACUCUGGAGUAAUAGCGUUGGAUUAUAUCCAGAUGGCUAAGAAUCUGGCAGACCCUUUUACGAAAGGGCUAUCACGGAUUGUGAUAGAAAAUGCAUCGAGGGACAUGGGUAUGAGACCCACGUAA